rnacentral:rRNA from 1 species
GCAUAUCAAUAAGCGGAGGAAAAGAAACCAACAGGGAUUGCCUCAGUAACGGCGAGUGAAGCGGCAACAGCUCAAAUUUGAAAUCUGGCCCUAGGCCCGAGUUGUAAUUUGCAGAGGAUGCUUUUGGUGCGGUGCCUUCCAAGUUCCCUAGAACGGGACGCCAGAGAGGGUGAGAGCCCCGUACAGUUGGACACCAAGCCUUUGUAAAGCUCCUUCGACGAGUCGAGUAGUUUGGGAAUGCUGCUCAAAAUGGGAGGUAUAUUUCUUCUAAAGCUAAAUACCGGCCAGAGACCGAUAGCGCACAAGUAGAGUGAUCGAAAGAUGAAAAGCACUUUGAAAAGAGGGUUAAACAGCACGUGAAAUUGUUAAAAGGGAAGCGCUUGUGACCAGACUUGCGUCCGGUGAAUCACCCAGCUCUCGCGGCUGGGGCACUUCGCCGGCUCAGGCCAGCAUCAGCUCGCUGUCGGGGACAAAAGCUUCAGGAACGUAGCUCUCUUCGGGGAGUGUUAUAGCCUGUUGCAUAAUACCCUUCGGCGGGCUGAGGUACGCGCUCCGCAAGGAUGCUGGCAUAAUGGUCAUCAGCGACCCGUCUUGAAACACGGACCAAGGAGUCAACCUUAUGUGCGAGUGUUCGGGUGUCAAACCCCUACGCGUAAUGAAAGUGAACGCAGGUGAGAGCUUCGGCGCAUCAUCGACCGAUCCUGAUGUUCUCGGAUGGAUUUGAGUAAGAGCAUAUAGGGUUGGACCCGAAAGAGAGGUGAACUAUGCGUGUAUAGGGUGAAGCCAGAGGAAACUCUGGUGGAGGCUCGCAGCGGUUCUGACGUGCAAAUCGAUCGUCAAAUAUGCGCAUGGGGGGCGAAAGACUAAUCGAACCUUCUAGUAGCUGGUUUCCGCCG